rnacentral:lncRNA from 1 species
UUUUAUUUUACUUUGUCGAUCGAAUCGGUGUCGAUCGAUUCAUGUCGAUCGAUUCACGUUUUCAUUUUUCGAUCGAUUCAUGUCGAUCGAAUCGGUCCGGGUUUUUUGACAAUUUGUCGAUCGAAUCGGUGUCGAUCGAUUCACGUCGAUUGAUUCACGUUUUCAUUUUUCGAUCGAUUCCGAUCGAAUCGGUACCGGGUUUUUUAAUAAUUUGUCGAUCGAAUCGGUGUCGAUCGAUUCAUGUCGAUCGAUUCACGUUUUCAUUUUUCGAUCGAUUCAUGUCGAUCGAAUCGGUCCCGGGUUUUUGACAAUUUGUCGAUCGAAUCGGUGUCGAUCGAUUCACGUCGAUUGAUUCACGUUUUCAUUUUUCGAUCGAUUCAUGUCGAUCGAAUCCAUACCCUCCAUUUUAAACGUUAAGUACAUUUUUUUCAAUAAGAGAUUAAAUCACAGGCCAGGUUUGAAGUAUCGACAGUAUCAUAGUGAUUCCAAAAAUACACUACACAACAUAUAAUUCGCUCACAAGAAAAAACAAUCAAUUAAAAUAAAAUCAGUCCUCCCUAAACAGCAGAAAAUGGUGCCGAUUCCCAUCUACCAAAGCGCGCUCUAACCAAUGGAAAAUGGACCAUUGGUAGCAUACGCUGCGGAGACCGGCCGGAAUAGCAGCUCUAGGUGCUAGCACCAGAGCCGCUAAAAGAAAAGGGACUACCUUCAUGAACCUCAAAAAUACUUUAUCCCACUGAUAACAUAAUUCUUAUCAUAUCACUAGAAAGGAAAGUGGUUGAAAACUUCGGAGGACGACGAAACUAUCCAAUGAUUUGAAAAGAAAUCCUAUUUUCCGGCGGUAGAAAAAGGUUUAAUUUUUAGCGGUUGUUUUCCUCUUUCUAAUGGUCCUUUUCUAAUUGUAUAUUUUUUCACUUUUUCUACAUGCGCCCAUACUUCCUUUUUUCUACAUGGGAUUUAAAGCGGGCAUCAUGUCGUUUAAUCUAAUCAUUGUUUCUUCUUUUUCAUUUUUCCUAGGCGCAGUCUAUGUGAAGGGUGCACUUCUAGCCAUGGGAAUUAGGGCUCCCUUAAAGAAAGUCAAAUUUUUCCUCCGACAUGUUGACCCAUAUGGUACCAUGUUGCGAAAAAGGCUGAGAAUUCGUCGAAGGCAGUAUAAAGUCAAAAAAGCAAAUAGUUAUUGGAAGUCUAUACGAAUUAAGGAAGGACAUGAAGAGCCUUAAAGUUUUCAUUACGAAAAGUGGGAAUAGUGGAUAUGCUCCAGCUUCCCAAAAUACAGCUCCCGAAAUAGCAGGGUCUGCUGUUAAAAGAGUAGAGAGAUUACUUCCGUUGAGAGGUGAGGAAGGAUGGAAACUUUUAGAGGGCAAAUUACUCAAGGACGAAGAAUUCCGGAUUGCGUUUGUAAGUAUAGAAGAUUGCAGUACCUCUUAAAGGUUGUACUUUCAAGGUAUGAGGCUCAAAACCUGGUUUCAGCUGAAAAUGUUUAUUCUUUCACGAUCUACAUGUUGGCUUAACACUUAAGUCUUUCUAUUAGUGUAGAAAUGAACCAUUUUUUCUCAAAACUUAUGCUCUUUUCUUAUUAUGCAUACUGGGUGUCUUAAAAUCAUGGAAACAUUAAAAUAUCUUUCAAACAUCUUUGUAUUUUAACUUGCAGGUUGAAAAAAGAUUUCUUGUAUUUAAAAUUAAAAUUUUUGGGUGUGGAAUGUUCAAACUUCCAUUAUCACUGAAAGCGGAAUAGGGGCUGAAUCAGUAUUUUCAAGUAGGAACUCUUAUCCUAUGACGAAGUGUUGGAAAGGGCCCGAAUACAGAAAACUUUCGGCUUAAAAUACAAUAUUUAUCACCGAUUCAAAGUAGUGGCAGGUAAUAUGUCAGGAUAACUGUUAAUCAACACUUUCGCUAGGUUUGCUUUCAUAAAUUAAAGAAACUUCCUUUUUUCUUACAUUAUUUUUCAAAUUGCUUUCCGAAGUUUUGGUGAGCUUAAAUAAAACUAUGCACGUCUCAACUAGUAAAGUGUGACUGCUUGAUUUGGGUUCCAAUUUGCAAGAACUAAUUUCACUUGUCCUUUUUCAGGUUUGGUCAGCUCAAUCACCGUAUGGGGGACUGUUGUCACAGGUUUAGCAAUCCUGCGGACCCCAGCUGGUAGCCCCUGCCUUAAAGGGGAUAGUGGAGACGGUCACCGGCCUCUGGGCGUAUGAACCACCUGCUAGAAGGGCAGACAGGGCUCUGAGCUGAAGUGAAAGCAACCUGUCUAGGAGAGGCAACUCCGAAAUCAAACCCUGGUCCUCCAGGUUGGGGGUUGAGUCAUCGGGCUGACUCCCCGGUACUUGUAAAAGGUUUCACUGUCAAAAGACCUAACGUAACAAGCCUCGGUACCACUGGAAACAAACGGACACGUCGACAAAAAUUAAGAAAACGGACAUUGAUAUUUGGGACGUGGAAUGUCCAAGGCAUUUCAAAUAAGCUACCGGAAGUGAUAUCGGAGAUCCAGAAGCUUGAAGUGGAUGUCGCUGUUCUUACUGAGACCAAGAAGAAAGGGCACGGGUCAGAGAAUUACGGUGACUAUGAUCUAUUCUACAGCGGCGUGGCCAAAGAUCAGCGUGCUC